GAGCCGCGGUAUUAUUGUCAUUUUACCGUUUUACCAUGUUUCGGACGCAGGAGCACAACGACAGAAUUAUUUUUGAGGAGACAAAUGAAGCAUGUUUACACUUAGGUCGUCAGAUUUAGGCAUAUAGGCUACAUUAUUUUUUCUUCAUUUUCAAAUAUAUCUCAGUUAAAACAAAAAACAUGUAUUGAAUAUUUGGGAUAUUACGCUACAGUUAAUGCAAAUAGCUUAUUAUUAUUUUAACAUGCCUCUGUUAUUGUUGUAAUUGCUUGUUUUUAUCGGUAGGUAGUUAUAAUGGUGGUAUCAUGUUUCUAAUAUCUUAUUGAAGUUAACGUACGUCCCAUUGAUUAUAUGAAUAUUCAUGUCGUCCUGUCCCCAUACCGUUACCCGAGUCUAAAGUGUUAAUUUCACAGUUACAGUGCCCAGCCGCUCCGCUCCUCAACCGACUUGAAGCGUGCCCACCCGAGACUCCACGCAGCAGGGAGGCGGGAGGGAGCCUGGACACCUGGCUGGCCCGCUGCGCGCGGAGCAUCCUGAGAAGAGGACUUCGUGGUUCUAGAACACCGACCGGUUGUAAGUCUGAUGGAUACCCGGGGGGCAAGGUUGUCGGAUCAAAACCUGAAACGACAAGAUGAAAAUGAAUCAUGCAUCCUGCCCGUGAGCAAGGCAGAUAAUUUAACUGAGUAAACCCAGGGGUUGGUUUAGAUGCAGACAUCAGAGUUAGGUUGGACUUGGUGCGCUCAGGACUAAUGCACUGUAAAGAUGCUGGUUGAUGUUUGUAUACAGCGCUGUUUGGCAAAGAUUUCAUAACUGUCGCGAUGCAGAAAUUGAUUGGAAAUACCAUUAUCACAAGACUUAGUAGUACUAGCGAGACUGAAGGUUUCAUCUAAGUAGGUAAGACUGCUUGUAACUACUAAGCUCCAUAUUCAUGUCUUACAGAGUAAAUUUAAGUUAAACAUGGGUGUCUGUAAUGCAGUUUAAAUGUCCUGUACAACACUGCUUUGCUGUAAAUGAGUUUAUUAGUGUGUUUGUUUCCUAUGCAUGUGUUCCCUAGUGUUUUUAUUUGUUCUCCAUUUAUAUAGUUUCUGUAACACAGGACUCAAAUGUAAAAAAAAGACUUUGGUGUCAGCUUGAUCUCCCUGUUAAAAAAAAAAAGGUCAAAAACUGAGCACCUAACAAAAAACUG